GUUCAGCAGUGCCGUGCUGCCAGAAAUGCUCGCUGAGCCCGUGCGAGGGGGAAAUCUUACCAGAACUGCUGAGAUUACCCCAGAACGACCCUUUGCAGACUGACUCCGCAUCCUCAGAGCUGAUCUGAUCGGGGCCUACCAAAGACAUUAACGACGUCGAAAGUAGCUUACUUUAAGAGAAAAUAUGCAGAAGAAGAACAUUUACAUCAAGAUUACCAUGAGUAUUGUCCAAAACACCUGAUACUACCAGAGGACCGGACUUGUAUCCUAAAACUGUCUCUCCAGAAACUCCGCUUCCUGGACGACCCCGAAGCCUAUCUCCGUAGGUCUGUAUUAAUUAACAAUCUGUUGAGGAAGAUCCACCUAGAGACAGAGAGGGAGAGCUAUGAAUACUUUAAGGAGGCUCCGUGCUAUAGGACUGCCUACUCUGACGCACGAAAACGGCUGAAGCUGAUGGUGCAGGAGUGCUGUUCCCAGUCGCUCUAUUAUGAAGAGCUGCACUCGUAUCGCAUCGUGCCUUACUCCGCAGAGAGCGCCGUCUACGGCAUGGGCUACACGGGCAGCCACCUGGAGCAAAAUUCUCAGUUGCUUAUUUAUAAAAUGAAUUAAAAGUAGCUGUUAGACCCACUGAUGUUUGUUUCUGAAUGCUUGGACUGCUUGUUGAGGUGUUGAGGUGAGGCACUAAUUGCAGAUGUGUUUGCCAUCGGGAGGCGGAGAGGGAGCUGAGUGGAAGGUGCUUUGGAUAAUGCUCUGUUAACCCCCCCGGUGUGAAGCAGCUUGCUGUACACACAGAGAGGUGCAAUACAGAGGUCCUAAACCUGCAGAGACUGCGUGCAAGGCGGUUUGUAGAAACAAAGCUGCACUUAAAGUUACCUGUGUGUAGAUACGGAUGCUCCGAAUCCCUUUCACAGUUAAAUUCCGCCAUCCCCGGUGCAAGGGGAGCCCCCGAAGCAGUGGAGUAGUCUAACAGUGAGGAGUAGAACACAAGUUAUCUGCUGUAAAGGUAUAGACAGAAAGUUUCUUUGAGAAUUGCUUUGACCAUGAAGGAGUCAGUGCCAAAGGAAUCAGUCUUUAGCUUAGGAUUUUCAGAGACUGAACUCGCUUGCUACUUACAGACACUCUGUACUGAGAUUUGCAAGGGUUUGUGGGUUGGUUUUUUAAAAAAAUAAUUGCAUUCACUUUUUACUUAUAUUAUCUCUUAGCUGGUAUCUACUUUGCUACUUUAAUACAAACCAGAAUGACUCACAGGAAAGAUUGUUUCUUCAGCCCAUCAUCAGUGUUCCCUUAACUUCAUUUGCCUCUUUCCCUAGCUGUUUCCCUGAAUACUUCUUUGCAUGCUAAUUCGCUGUUUGGCCCGAGGUUCACACUGGUGCUAGGGAAUAGACAGCAAUUUCUUUUUAUGUGGACUAUAAAAGGCAGAAAACAAUGAUAACUCUCAUAGAUAGAGAAUGAAUGUAUCUGACAGAUGAUGGUAAGACCUCAGAGGCUCUCCUGAUAAAACUGCUCAGCAUUAGUAAAAGUGUUUCAGGUUAAGUGAAAUGUCUAACUUCAAUCUGGGAAUUAACUUUAAAAUAUGUAAAUAUAUAUAUUUCACAAGCUAUGGCAUGUGGGAUGUUCAGCAAAUGGAAUGACUACAAGUGGAAAGUUUCACAGCUGCCAAAGCUACGUCAUGAAAAUACCAAA